AGCGAACGCUGGCGGCAGGCCUAACACAUGCAAGUCGAACGAACUCUUCGGAGUUAGUGGCGGACGGGUGAGUAACACGUGGGAACGUGCCUUUAGGUUCGGAAUAACUCAGGGAAACUUGUGCUAAUACCGAAUGUGCCCUUCGGGGGAAAGAUUUAUCGCCUUUAGAGCGGCCCGCGUCUGAUUAGCUAGUUGGUGAGAUAAAGGCUCACCAAGGCGACGAUCAGUAGCUGGUCUGAGAGGAUGAUCAGCCACAUUGGGACUGAGACACGGCCCAAACUCCUACGGGAGGCAGCAGUGGGGAAUCUUGCGCAAUGGGCGAAAGCCUGACGCAGCCAUGCCGCGUGAAUGAUGAAGGUCUUAGGAUUGUAAAAUUCUUUCACCGGGGACGAUAAUGACGGUACCCGGAGAAGAGCCCCGGCUAACUUCGUG
rnacentral:rRNA from 1 species